GGAAGAUUUUCAUUCCUGUGGUCGACUCUCAGAUGUGUGAAUGGAAUGAACUAUGUGGUCAAGGUGUUGGUUGAUGAACAUGGGGAUGGGAGUGUGUGUUCAUGCAAUGAUAAAACUUUCCUGUAAUGGAGGGAAACCAAGUGUGACUGGAAUCAAGUUCCAUAAAACCUUUGAUGACCCACUGAUCCACUUCUGAAAACUUACAGAAAUAGUCUGUCUUUAUUUAAUAACAGACACAUGUAAUGAGAGGAACUAGUGAAAUAGUUUCAAUCCUCAAUAUUAAACUGUAUUCAAGUC